rnacentral:rRNA from 1 species
GAUGAACGCUGGCGGCGUGCCUAAUACAUGCAAGUCGAGCGAACAGACGAGGAGCUUGCUCCUCUGACGUUAGCGGCGGACGGGUGAGUAACACGUGGAUAACCUACCUAUAAGACUGGGAUAACUUCGGGAAACCGGAGCUAAUACCGGAUAAUAUAUUGAACCGCAUGGUUCAAUAGUGAAAGACGGUUUUGCUGUCACUUAUAGAUGGAUCCGCGCCGCAUUAGCUAGUUGGUAAGGUAACGGCUUACCAAGGCAACGAUGCGUAGCCGACCUGGUAGGGUGGUCGGCCGCACUGGAGCGGGGACACGGUCCAGGCUCCUACGGGAGGCAGCAGUAGGGAAUCUUCCGCAAUGGGCGAAAGCUUGACGGAGCAACGCCGCGUGAGUGAUGAAGGUCUUCGGAUCGUAAAACUCUGUUAUUAGGGAAGAACAAAUGUGUAAGUAACUAUGCACGUCUUGACGGUACCUAAUCAGAAAGCCACGGCUAACUACGUG